UACAGAGGUCUCAAGCGUUGUUCGGAUUCAUUGGGCGUAAAGGGCGCGUAGGCGGCGGGGUAAGUCGGGUGUGAAAUCUCAGGGCUCGACCCUGAAACUGCACUCGAUACUGCUCUGCUUGAGGACUGGAGAGGAGACUGGAAUUCACGGUGUAGCAGUGAAAUGCGUAGAUAUCGUGAGGAAGACCAGUGGCGAAGGCGGGUCUCUGGACAGUUCCUGACGCUGAGGCGCGAAGGCCAGGGGAGCAAACGGG
rnacentral:rRNA from 1 species